GGGAACGGGACCCAUCGCAGCGGUCUUGAAUGACAAAGCAAAUGCGAAUCGCCGGAAUCGCACCUGCAGAAGAAUCUCAAGAAUCUGUUGGCUGAGGCGCCCAUAGAAAUUCGAUUCAACAACCAUCUCACUCGGUUAAACCGUCAAUUCACAGAAAGGGCAACAAAGAGGCAACCAUGGCGACGUUAGUGCGGCAACGAUAGUUUCGAUCAAUCCUGCAAACGAGCUCCUCGCCAUGCCCGGAUGGCGCCCCGGUCCUUCUCUCUAGCUUCGCUAAUCGAGAGGUGAGGCUGCUGCAACACGGUAGGAGCAUUGUGGUUGAGGACGACCUCAAUAUUCGUUGGGAGGAGCUUGCUGGCGAGGUCGUGGACGAGGUCAUUUUCUUCAGGCGGCAUGCUGCCGUUUCGAAUCGUCCUACCCUCACUGUUCAUCGGAUUGGGAACAUAACAGGAACAAUGAAGUCCUUCUUGGCAUCGAGGGUGGACAUUAUGCACCUCGCCACAUGGACAUAGUUCUGUAAGUAUUGGUUGGUCAGGCUGUUCUUCCCGUUAAUGGGAUCAUUUCUUUAGCGUUCAUAGGCCCAAUGGAAGAUCCGAACCAGUCGAAGGGAAAUACGAACGACAAAGGUAUCGGGGGAGCUGGAGAGAGUCGAUUAACGCAGUAUUCAAGGCUACUAAAUUGGCUUUCCUUGGUGGAGAGAUCACAGCACACCUUCAUAACAAGAGUUUCAAGGGCUAGUGAAGCUGUUAGGGGAUGUUUAAAAAAGUCAAAGUCAAUUCGACGGAACAGUGAAGCUUUAUAAGGUCUUUUUGUCUAGGUUAGAACUUACCUGAUGAGGAAUUUCACUAAUUUAGGAUGGAUGAAUUUGAUUAGCUCAACCAAUUUGUGUAGUUUGGGUUGAGUUAUGAGCUUAUUUGAAUUGUGUUGGGUUUAAACAAAUGAAAACGUUAUGAAUUGCGUUGA